rnacentral:rRNA from 1 species
UACGUAGGGUGCGAGCGUUAAUCGGAAUUACUGGGCGUAAAGCGUGCGCAGGCGGUUCGUUGUGUCUGAUGUGAAAGCCCCGGGCUUAACCUGGGAAUGGCAUUGGAAACUGGCGAGCUGGAGUGUGGCAGAGGGGGGUGGAAUUCCGCGUGUAGCAGUGAAAUGUGUAGAGAUGCGGAGGAACACCGAUGGCGAAGGCAGCCCCCUGGGCCAACACUGACGCUCAGGCACGAAAGCGUGGGGAGCAAACAGG